AAGUCGUAACAAUGUUUUCGUAGGUGAACCUCGGAAGGAUCAUAAACACGUAUCCAAACGUAAAAAACCCCCCGUGAACCGCGUAGUUCGUAAUCUCUGGUAGAUCAUAGCCCGGAAAGUAGUUUUGAUUCAGGGACCUCAUGCUACGUGAGAACAUGUUACAAUCGAGCGGUAGUGUUUCCCCAAGCAGUCAGUGUCUGAAAGUGUCACUGAUUGUGCAAGGAUCGCGCUUCAACGAUUCCUGUAGACCGUACACUCGGGCAAGAGCUAUUCCAAAGGGUCCCCAUUGGUCAAAAAACCGAACAACUGUUAACAAUGGAUAUCUUGGUUCUC
rnacentral:misc_RNA from 1 species